UGGGCCUAUAGCUCAGUUGGUAGAGCAGGGGACUCAUAAUCCCUUGGUCGUAGGUUCAAGUCCUACUGGGCCCAU
rnacentral:tRNA from 1 species